rnacentral:rRNA from 1 species
AUGGUUGCAAAGCUGAAACUUAAAGGAAUUGACGGAAGGGCACCACCAGGAGUGGAGCCUGCGGCUUAAUUUGACUCAACACGGGAAACCUCACCAGGCCCAGACACUAGCAGGAUUGACAGAUUAAGAGCUCUUUCUCGAUUUGGUGGGUGGUGGUGCAUGGCCGUUCUUAGUUGGUGGAGUGAUUUGUCUGGUUAAUUCCGGUAACGAACGAGACUCUGGCCUACUAAAUAGUCGACGUGGUGAUAUGGCCACGGUCGAAACUAUCUUCUUAGAGGGAUGAGCAGCAAGUGCAGCUGCAGGAGAGUGAGCAAUAACAGGUCUGUGAUGCCCUUAGAUGUUCUGGGCCGCACGCGCGCUACACUGAAAGGGUUAGCGGGUCUACCUUCUCCGAGAGGAGCGGGAAAUCGCUACAAAACCUUUCAUGAUUGGGAUUGGGGCUUGCAACUGUUCCCCAUGAACGAGGAAUUCCCAGUAAGCGCAAGUCAUCAGCUUGCGUUGAUUAAGUCCCUGCCCUUUGUACACACCGCCCGUCGCUACUACCGAUUGAAUGAUUUAGUGAGGCCUUCGGACUGGCGGCUUGGACUGGGCCCCACUCGUCACCUCUUCGCGCCUCGCGCGCGCUGGGGCCGGUGGGCUCGCCUCGACGCGCCGGAAAGAUGUCCAAA